GAGGACUUUGGUACAACAAAAAGUGUUAAAUUUGUGACAUUCGCUAGAUUGCUUUGGUCAAAGACAGGGAAGCAAACACAAGAUGUACGUGGUUCACCCAGAUUGGCUACGUCCACAAAGUAGAGGAGUUCUCAUUAAUUGUGAAGGGUUUACACAAGUACAUAGGUACAAGCUCUCCUUUAGUGAGUACUAGUGAAUGAUUUAGUACAACUGACAUUCGGAAAUAUUGUGAAAGAAUGAUCUCUAUUUAUAGAAGAGAGUUUCUAGUUUCAUUCUAACAUUGACAUGUGUCGUGUUGUGAUUGGCUUCUAAUGUUGACACGUGUCGUAUUAUUUUCACUUGCCUUAUCUGUCUCAUAUGUACAUGUGGCAUCUUCUCUGGAAGUACUUUUCCUCCAUCUAGGGGUGGUAUCUUUAACUGAUGAAGAUGCACAAGGUAAUGUAUCAAUUUCACUUGAAGCUUACUUGUAGUUUCGGGCUUGGUUAAGUGCGAUACAAACCCUAUAAUAGGAGUCCCCCAAGUCGCCAAGCUAGGAUAUUUGCUGAAGGAGGUAACAGACAAGGUAAACAAUCAGACUUCCAAGCAAGCAACCUGGAUCGGAGGUUCGACUUCGGCUUCCGGUUGAUUGUUCUCAUUCUCCUUGUGUCGUAAACAGCAACCAAGAUAAGGAGAAGCAAAUGGAGAAGAGAUGAUAUGAGAUACUUUUGCUUUUGAAGAAGUAACUUUCCAUAUGCUUAUUCU
rnacentral:lncRNA from 1 species